GCUGCUUGUCACAUAUAUGACAGUAUUUAUUUUUAUCUGGGGGGCAAAAAAGGAAAAUUCUAGGUUAUUUUUCUUAAAAAAAAGUUAUGCUAUACUAUGUCUAUUUUGAUUCAUUUUGCAGGUCCAGGGGGAAGGAAAAUACCUUAAAUGUUGCAUUUAAAGGCUUGGUGGAGCCGUGCAGACCGUGCGGGGUCUUGUGGUGGGUCCUGAACGCAUGGAUUCUGUGGGAAUCUCACACGAAUUAAGGCACAUUUGAUCCUAAGGAGACUGCACUGGAUAAUCUCAGACAUAAUCUCCUUUCCUCGCCCUGGACAGGAGUCGCUCAUGGAAAUAAAACUGCUGGGCGGAUAGUAGGAAAUGAAAGGAAAUAACCACACCACAUACUUGCAAGAUACGAUCCCCUUCUCGAAUUCGACCGUCUCGGGCGGCAAUGCUGUUUGGAUCUAUCUGCGAGGGAGAAGACGCCCAUCUUCAGCGGGAUGUGCAAUACUCCCCCAGGAGCUUACAAAUACGGCUUUAAAUAUAUUGUCAAAAACUUGGUUCAAAGUUCUCUAUUGAUUUACAGAGCACAUGUUCAUUUUUCUCUGUCAAAAAUCACUGAUUCUGAAAAUGUAAAUGGACUGUGUUGGAAUGAAUAAUAAUGAAAUUGAAAACUAGAACAGAAUUGGGAGACCAUUUUCUUUCACUCCCUCCUUCCCUUUUUUCCUUUCAUCC